CUCUUGACAUCCAGAGAACUUAGUAGAGAUGCUUUGGUGCCUUCGGGAACUCUGAGACAGGUGCUGCAUGGCUGUCGUCAGCUCGUGUUGUGAAAUGUUGGGUUAAGUCCCGCAACGAGCGCAACCCUUAUCCUUUGUUGCCAGCGGUUCGGCCGGGAACUCAAAGGAGACUGCCAGUGAUAAACUGGAGGAAGGUGGGGAUGACGUCAAGUCAUCAUGGCCCUUACGAGUAGGGCUACACACGUGCUACAAUGGCAUAUACAAAGAGAAGCGACCUCGCGAGAGCAAGCGGACCUCAUAAAAUAUGUCGUAGUCCGGAUUGGAGUCUGCAACUCGACUCCAUGAAGUCGGAAUCGCUAGUAAUCGUAGAUCAGAAUGCUACGGUGAAUACGUUCCCGGGCCUUGUACACACCGCCCGUCACACCAUGGGAGUGGGUUGCAAAAGAAGUAGGUAGCUUAACCUUCGGGAGGGCGCUUACCACUUUGUGAUUCAUGACUGGGGUGAAGUCGUAACAAGGUAACCGUAGGGGAACCUGCGGUUGGAUCACCUCCUUACCUUAAAGAA
rnacentral:rRNA from 1 species